GGGGUGAGGGCAGGGGUGUCUUGGGGAGCAGUUAGGGGUCCUUCGGGCCUACGAAGGAUACCGUUUGUGGCUGACUUAUCUGUCUUGUAUGGCAUGGAGACCGGUUAGAGAGCUGAGGACAGGCGCAUGUCCAGCACUGGUUCAAUCUUGGAGUAGACACCCAUCUGCAAUGCAGAGAGGAAGGACGAAAGGAGCAGCCUCCUGCCCUGCUUCUCUGCUCUGCCCUCCCCUGCACAGCCCCGCUCACCGAGUUCCUGGUCUGAAAAUGUUUUCCUUGGCCAUUUUGGGCUCACUGUGUCAGCAGCGCCACAUUGACACGGCCACUGCAGUUAUAUGCGGUGUGGUGCCGGCACCUGCAGAGGGAUGGGGAGUCAGACAAGCAGAGUUAAAGGUUUGGGUUAAGAGCAGGGGGAUGCUAUGGAGCUUCCAUAGGGCUGUAGGUGCAAGACAGGCUACAGUUUGGGCGUGACUUAUCUUUUUUGUAGGAUGUGAACACCAGCUUGUCAAAUGGAGCUCAGGCCCUGGUGGUCAUCUGUUUCCAUUGGUGUUGGGCUGUCCAUCUGCAAGGCAGAUGAGAGGCACGAGAGGAGCAGCCUCCUGCCCUGCUUCUCUGUGCUGCCCUCCCUUGCACAGCCCCGCUCACCGGGUUGCUGGUCUGAAAAUGGUUUCCUUGGCCAUUUUGGGCUCACUGUGUCAGCAGCGCCAUGUUGAGAUUGCCACUGCAGUCAUGCGGUAUGGUGCUGGCACCUGCAGUGGGGUUGAGAUUCAGCAAAGCAGAGUUAAAGGUUUGGGUUAAUGCAGGGGGAUGCUAUGGAGCUUCCAUAGGCCUGUAGUUGCAAGACAGGCUAGAGUUUGAGCGUGACUUAUCUUUUUUGUUGGAUGUGAACUCCAGCUUGUCAAAUGGAGCUCAGGCCCUGGUGGUCAUAUGUUUCCAUUGGUGCUGGGC
rnacentral:lncRNA from 1 species